AGAUAGAGCCAUUUCCAUCUCCCAAUUUUCGAACGUUUUCUCCAGAGAUCUGGUGAAAUAAAGCUUCACAACACAACCACAAAGAGGAAGAGAAUGGAACAGAACAGAAAAAAUUUCGCUUCAAGAUUUUCGAGAUGGUUGAGAAACUGAGGGUCUCUAGUAUGAAUACUGGUGCGGGCAGUGAAGAGCGAGCCAGCAAGAAAGCUCGCAAAACAAAGAAACAAGGUUAACACAAGACACUCCUGUAUGGAUGAUCGUGAAGACCAUGAAACUGAUGUUAGGGUAAUUACAUUUCAUCCUAUUUGUUAGUCUUAGGU